GAUUCUCUCUGAUUUUUUUGAAAGCACAAAGAGGCUUCAUAUUUAAUUUAUAGUAUUAUAUAAGCUGCUGCUGCUGCUGGGGUGUGUGUGUGUGUGUGUGUGUGUGUGUGUGUGUGUGUGUGUGUCUUCCAGCAUAAUCCUGACUGUGGUAGUUUGGAUUUUGCAUUAUGGGGGCAACCACCAUUCUAGCAUCUGAAUACUCAUUCUAGAGGGCUAAAUCCAUGAGAGCAAAAGUAUAGAAACAAUUUUGCAGUGCUGGUGGCAUUUCCCUUGCCUAUAAAACCAAUUUUAACUGCACAAAACCCUCAGCACAUUGCAUGUGGGAAAUGCAGUGGCUGCACAUUAAGCUGUUACGAAUAACUGCUGUUGGGAUGGAAUGAAAUGGAAACAAAUCUGCAUUUUAUUUGCACUCUCUCUGCAAUUCCAUGCCAUCCAGACUGCAGUUACGUUCUGUGCACAGCAACACCGCCAAAAAGGGUGCAAUGGUUAAUAUUAAGCAUCAACUUGAUUGGAUUGAAAGAUAGGAAGUAUUGAUCCUGGAUGUGUCUGAGUCAGUGGUCUGGGAAAGGCAGACCCACCCUCCAUCUGGGUGGGCACAUCUAAACAGCUGCCAGCGUGGCCAGAAUAUAAGCAGGCAGGAAAACGUGCAAGGAGAGACUGGCCUAGCCUCCUAGUCUGCAUCUUUCUCCUGUGCUGAAUGUUCCUGCUCUCAAACAUCGCACUCCAAGUUCUUCAGUUUUGGAACUCAGACUGGCUUUCCUCACUCCCUGGCCUGCGGAUGGCCUACUAUGGUACCUUGUGAUUGUGGGAGUUAAUAAUAAACUCGUGUGUGUGUGUGUGUGUGUGUGUGUGUGUGUAUAUAUAUAUAUAUAUAUAUAUAUAUAUAUAUAUGAGACUAUUGGGCAGAGAGCUGCUCAGAAAGGCCUCCUACCCGUUUCUGAUAUACAGAAUUUUUUUUUUUUUUAGAUGGCGUCUCCCUCUGUAGC
rnacentral:lncRNA from 1 species